AUUGAACGCUGGCGGAAGGCUUAACACAUGCAAGUCGAACGAGUGGCGGACGGGUGAGUAAUGUAUGGGAAAGUGCCUGAUAGAGGGGGAUAACUACUGGAAAAGGUAGCUAAUACCGCAUACCAUCGGAUGUGCCCAGAUGGGAUUAGCUAGUAGGUGGGGUAAAGGCUCACCAAGGCGACGAUCCCUAGCUGGUCUGAGAGGAUGACCAGCCACACUUGAACUGAGACACGGUCCAGACGCCUACGUGAGGCAGCAGUGGGGAAUAUUGGACAAUGGGCGAAAGCCUGAUCCCGCCAUGCCGCGUGUAUGAAGAAGGCCUUCGGGUUGUAAAGUACUUUCAGCGGGGAGGCGUUACCCGCAGAAGAAGCACCGGCUAACUCCGUGCCAGCAGCCGCGGUAAUUC
rnacentral:rRNA from 1 species